AUGAAGCAGCUGGCAAAAGCAACUGUGCUCCUGAUCUUGGCCACAUGGAGCCUUGCUAAGACCACCCAGCCCCUCUCCAUGGACUCCUAUGAAGGGCAAGAAGUAAAUGUGUCCUGCAGCCACACGAACAUUGCUACAAAUGAGUACAUCUACUGGUACCGUCAGGUUCCCCACCAGGGACCACAGUUUAUUGUUCAAGGAUAUAAGGUCCAUGUGUCGAAUGAGUGGGCAUCUCUGUUUAUCUCAGCUGACAGGAAGUUCAGCACUCUGAGUCUGCCCUGGGUUUCCCUGAGAGACACUGGCGUGUACUACUGCAUUGUGGCUGACACACAGUGA